rnacentral:rRNA from 1 species
UGGGGAAGUUUUGGAUCAAUGGGGCAACCGUACGAUCCAGCCAUGCCGCGUGUGUGAAGAAGGCCUUCGGGUUGUAAAGCACUUUCGGCCGGAACGAAAUCGCACGGGUGAAUAUCCCGUGUGGAUGACGGUACCGGAAGAAGAAGCACCGGCUAACUACGUGCCAGCAGCCGCGGUAAUACGAAGGGGGCGUAGCGUUGUUUCGGAUUUACUGGGCGUAAAGCGCGCGUAGGCGGAUCACUAAGUCAGGGUGAAAUCCCGAGGCUUAACCUCGGAACUGCCUUUGAUACUGGAGAUCUGGAGAUCGGGAGAGGUUGGUGGAAUUCCGAGUGUAGAGGUGAAAUUCGUAG